rnacentral:rRNA from 1 species
UACGAAGGGGGCUAGCGUUGCUCGGAAUCACUGGGCGUAAAGGGUGCGUAGGCGGGUCUUUAAGUCAGGGGUGAAAUCCUGGAGCUCAACUCCAGACCUGCCUUUGAUACUGAAGAUCUUGAGUUCGGGAGAGGUGAGUGGAACUGCGAGUGUAGAGGUGAAAUUCGUAGAUAUUCGCAAGAACACCAGUGGCGAAGGCGGCUCACUGGCCCGAUACUGACGCUGAGGCACGAAAGCGUGGGGAGCAAACAGG